rnacentral:rRNA from 1 species
GAUGAACGCUGGCGGCGUGCCUAACACAUGCAAGUCGAGCGAACACACGAGGAGGUUUCUUUCUUGACGUUAGCGGCGGACGGGUGUGUGACAUGUGGAUAAACUUCCUAUAUGAAUGGGAUAACUUCGGGAAACCGGUGCUAAUACCGGCUAAACUAUUGAAACGCAUGGUUCAAGAGUGUAAGACGGUUUUGCUGCCACUUAUAGCUGGUUCCGCGCCGCAUUAGCUAGUUGGUAGGGUAACGGCUUACCAAGGCAACGAUGCGUAGCCGACCUGAGAGGAUGAUCAGCCACACUGGAACUGAGACACGGUCCAGACUCCUACGGGAGGCAGCAGUGGGGAAUCUUGCACAAUGGGCGCAAGCCUGACGGAGCAACGCCGCGUGGAUGAUGAAGGUCUUCGGGUCGUAAAGCUCUGUUAUUGGGGAAGAACAAAUUUGUAAGAAACUAUGCACGUAUUGACGGUACCUAAUCAAAAAGCCACGGCUAACUACGUG